UGCGUGGUUGGCGGGCGGCUCUUGCGCGGUGCCUUGGCGCGGCCCCGGUGCUGGUUCUGCCCAUGCUCGCGCAG
rnacentral:tRNA from 1 species